GAUGAACGCUGGCGGCGUGCCUAAUACAUGCAAGUCGAGCGAAUGGAUUAAGAGCUUGCUCUUAUGAAGUUAGCGGCGGACGGGUGAGUAACACGUGGGUAACCUGCCCAUAAGACUGGGAUAACUCCGGGAAACCGGGGCUAAUACCGGAUAACAUUUUGAACCGCAUGGUUCGAAAUUGAAAGGCGGCUUCGGCUGUCACUUAUGGAUGGACCCGCGUCGCAUUAGCUAGUUGGUGAGGUAACGGCUCACCAAGGCAACGAUGCGUAGCCGACCUGAGAGGGUGAUCGGCCACACUGGGACUACGACACGGCCCAGACUCCUACGGGAGGCAGCAGUAGGGAAUCUUCCGCAAUGGACGAAAGGCUGACGGAGCAACGCCGCGUGAGUGAUGAAGGCUUUCGGGUCGUAAAACUCUGUUGUUAGGGAAGAACAAGUGCUAGUUGAAUAAGCUGGCACCUUGACGGUACCUAACCAGAAAGCCACGGCUAACUACGUGCCAGCCGCCGCCGUAA
rnacentral:rRNA from 1 species